CGGAAAAAUAGCAGCCAUUAAUACAAAUGGAUUCUGAGGAGCUGCGAUCGAGAGACGCCAUGGUGAAUUUACCCAAACACUCCUAUUGGUUCGAUUUUUGGCUAUUUAUUAUUUUUAAUAUAAUACUUUUCUUCGUAGUUUAUGUUUUGUUACCAUAGCGACCAACGUCCACAGCAUAAUAAAGUAGCAAGCUCUUUCAGAUCUCCAAAUCAUACAGUUGAGGAGGCUGUGUUCGUUUUUCGGAUUAACUUUAUAUCCUUGCCUGAAUCAAAUUAACACAAGAAACCUUUCUACAAAAAAGUCAAACAAACAUCAGCCAGGACCCAGUGCAGGUAGUCCAACAAUGCAUUGUUAUACCAUGGAAAUUACCCCAGUGGUACAGUUGAGAUGUCACUGCUACAGAUAGAUUGUGCAAAAGUCUGCAAUGUGGGAGCAUCGUGUAUAUUUUAUGUCAAACUGUUCUGUGUUUAUCGUUGGAUGCAGUCCAAAUCUGUGGACAAUGGAAUUCCUCAGAUAUCCCAGAGUUCGCAGGCUCCCAUGGAAUAUGCACAAAUUCCCAUAUUCUGUAGCUACAUCAUCAUAUCUGUCAUAAACAGACUGCUAAAGUGCACCUGAGGUAUAUAAUGGUUGUUUGGUUCUAGUUUUGUUAAAUUAACAUGUGUUUGUCUCCUCCAAAAAGUUGGAGUUAAUUAAAGACUAGAGUAGACUUUGAAAAUGUGACCAAAUAAGUCUUGUAUUCUGUGAUGCUUUUUCUUGACGGUUUCUAAAGAUUUUACUGACAAAAAUGCUUGAUAUAUUAAAUUGGAAAUACUUAACCCAUACAUUAUUUGAUUGUUUACUUGUUUGACAUUUUUAUAAGCCAUUAUGAAUAUAAAUACUAAAAACAUAAGAUACUGCAGCAGUCUACUUAAAAUACUGGUGUAGCAACAAGUCACCAUGAUUUUGUUUUUUUGUGUGUGUUAAUUCUGUUGUUUUGCUUAACUGUAUCUCACUUUACUUUGCAAAAAAGUGGGUUGUAGAUGAAAUUAAAUGAUUUGUUUUAAA